rnacentral:rRNA from 1 species
GACGAACGCUGGCGGCGUGCUUAACACAUGCAAGUCGAACGGAAAGGCCCUGCUUGCCGGGUGCUCGAGUGGCGAACGGGUGAGUAACACGUGGGUGAUCUGCCCCUUACUUUGGGAUAAGCCUGGGAAACUGGGUCUAAUACUGGAUAGGACCAUGCUGUAGGUGGUGUGGUGGAAAGAUUAGUUUCGGUAAGGGGUGAGCUCGCGGCCUAUCAGCUUGUUGGUGGGGUAAUGGCCUACCAAGGCGUCGACGGGUAGCCGGCCUGAGAGGGUGGACGGCCACAUUGGGACUGAGAUACGGCCCAGACUCCUACGGGAGGCAGCAGUGGGGAAUAUUGCACAAUAGGCGCAAGCCUGAUGCAGCGACGCCGCGUGGGGGAUGACGGCCUUCGGGUUGUAAACUCCUUUCGGCCAUGACGAAGCCCUUGUGGUGACGGUAGUGGUAGAAGAAGCACCGGCUAACUACGUG